rnacentral:lncRNA from 10 species
CACAGAUUUACAUUAUGUUCUGUUGAGGGCCUUCCCCAGGCUGUGCGGAAGGAGCCUCUAGAAAGGAUCUGGCAAAAUGGGAACCAUGUGAACGGUGCCAGAGCACCAAACUCCACAUGGGGUGCUUGGAAACCUCCUGCAACCUCUCAGCACGCAAACUGUUGCAGUUCCCAAACCAAUAAAGAUCUCACUGCCUCGGAAGGAGAGCGAGGUGUGAUUUCACAUUCUCCACACGGCUGCUGACUGCACACACCACGCAGCCCGCGAUGGAGUAGGCGCGCGCAUGUGUCUGUGUGUGUGUGAGUGUGUGUUUGUACUUGGAGAGGGUGUCUGUGAAAUCUAAAGGGCCAAUAUCGCACUCGCUGCAGCACUCAACAGCCAGCACCGUCUGGGGAGCUCCAUCCUGUAUUGACGCAACUUGCUUAUUCUAUCCCAAGGAAAUCAGGGCUCUGUUAAUAAGGAAGAAGAGAAUGAGAAGACAACUAACAAUCUUUGCUACAAUUGCUAAGCAAAAGGCACUUGAACACCUUCCACAGAAGAGGCAGACAUGAAAGAAAUGAAAGGUUCAAAAAUGGAAAAAUCACGGCAUAAAAGGUUGAGAGGAGAACAAUGCAACUGAACAAUGAAGAUAAAUAUAAAUAAUUCUUAAAUGUCUAGAUUCCUGGAAGAGGAGCAGUGUACCUUCUACAUAUGGCCAUGGCAGAGUAACUGGGAUCAGAUUUCCUUCCCAAUAUAAACAAUAAGAAAACUAGACGAAAGAUAUAAAACAACUGUUUUCAAACAUUGAACAACUGGCAGUGCAGGAUUGUGAUCCUUGUGAGCAGACUGGGACACUGGUCUUCUCCUUCCUUUGGACUCAGACUCAGACUUAGACUGGAAUUUACAACAUCAACUCACCUGGGUUUCCAGCUUGCCAACUUCAGAUCUUGGACUUCUCAUCUUCUAUAAUCAUGAUCUGUUCCAGAAGGAACUGCUGGAUCAAAGCAUGUGCGAACUCUUAAGGCUUCUGAUACAUAUUGCCAAAUUACCACUCGAAGGACUUACCAGCAGUGAAUGGGAGAACCUCUUCCCCAGGGUCCUGACCCACCCAACCAUAAACACACAAUAAGGAAGUAAGGGGGAUGGGGGAGGGAUAUUAAUGUUUUAAUUUGUUCUUUUGUUUAUAAGUAAAGAAAAAUUUGUUUAUUCCUUAUGA